rnacentral:misc_RNA from 1 species
UUUGUGCGGCCGACUAUUGGCGCCGUGUCUUGCCAUUUGUGUGAGCUAUCUUACUUUGCCUUUCAAGUGCUUGCGUGAUGUUACCUGACCUAUGGGUAUUGGUGCUUCAUACAUAGUUGCCUCGUGGUGGACGCCUUUGGGUGUGCUGCUGCGGCCGUAUGGCGAUUGUGGCGUUGCCUCGUGGUGCUGUUUCUUCUGGCCGGUGCUAUCAAGGCAGCCUUGCUCUCGUUAUUGGUUUUGGAUGUCGCUCAUGAUAUAUAUCCUCGUGGCCCAUUUGGUUGCCUCGGGGCCUGACCCUAAGAACGCUCUCCGACUUUGAGAACAUCGUUGAACGAAUGUUGCCUCUACCUUUCCACAACUAGUGGCAGGAUUACGCAGCAUACUCGAGUCCGAUCCCCAAAUAAGUCGGACGAGCAAGACCCUAAGAAUGCUCUCCGACUUUGAGAACAUCGUUGAAGGAAUGUUGCCUCUACCUUUCCACAUCAAGUGGCAGGAGUACGCAGCAUACUCUAUUCCGAUCCCCAAAUAAGUCGGAUGAGCUUGGCCC